AACCAUAAUGUUUCCUCUACUUAAUUAGUUCCAUUAGUUUAUAGGAAAUUUUGAUGGUCAUUAGUUCAUAACAGAUGAUGUAUUUAUAUGGGAAAAUUAAUGAAUGUGUGUUAUUAUUGUUUGCAUCCGGUUCAAUAUAUGUUGGAUGACAUGCACAUUACUCUUAUGAAUUCUAUAUAAUUUGAAGUCCACCUAUGGGAGGGCUAAUGAAUGUUG
rnacentral:lncRNA from 1 species